ACGAUGUGGAAACAGUAUAACAGCCGUGCAAUGACGCCCUUAGAGCUUUACGUAAUGCAUUCGUGAAUAUAACGCUAUAAACCAGAAAGCGCUCUCCGAUUGGACGAAAGGAACUGAACUCCACGAACCAAUGGCACACCACAUCCUUUAGCAAUGCAGGUCCUCGGAUGAGCAAUGGCCCAAUCCUAGAGAAGGAUCGGCACGCUUAGAUUUACAUAGCAAUGCUAUAAAUAGGAGACAGUGCAGGAGGCGGUAUUUUGAGCUGUGCUGUCUUUAGGGCUAUGGUGCUUUAGUCAACGCGACGGAGAAAUUGCCUGAGCCGACAAAAUUAAAACAGAUUGUCAACAUUUCUGCACAGAAAAUACUGCUCAUAGACCCCAUGGGGAAUGAAGGUGUUUAUGACAAGAAAAUUCUGCGCAACUGGAGGAAUUUUCUGAGGAUGAGAGGGCAUGAAGACACCAUGGAGUGGCAGUUACAGAUUAUGCAACACAACAAGCAACAGGAUUCCAGCAGUUGCGGAGUUUUGCUGUUAAAGGUAACCCUUAUUCAAAUGAUUCCAUUUAUUGUUAGCUACAUUUAG
rnacentral:lncRNA from 1 species